UUAGUUAAGUGAAUAAGGGCGCACGGUGGAUGCCUUGGCACUAGGAGCCGAUGAAGGACGGGACUAACACCGAUAUGCCUCGGGGAGUUGUAAGUAAACAUAGAUCCGGGGAUUUCCGAAUGGGGAAACCCACUGUUCGUAAUGGAACAGGACUUAUGUCUGAAUACAUAGGGCAUAAGAGGCACACCCAGGGAACUGAAACAUCUCAGUACCUGGAGGAAGAGAAAGCAAAUGCGAUUUCCCAAGUAGCGGCGAGCGAAACGGAAACAGCCCAAACCAGAGAGCUUGCUCUCUGGGGUUGUAGGACACUCCACAAGGAGUUACAAAGAAAUUCUUUAGAUGAAUCAACCUGGAAAGGUUAGCCGAAGAGGGUAACAGCCCUGUAAUCGAAAAAGAAUUUCCUCCGGAGUGGAUCCUGAGUACGGCGGAACACGUGGAAUUCCGUCGGAAUCCGGGAGGACCAUCUCCCAAGGCUAAAUACUCCCUAGUGACCGAUAGUGAACCAGUACCGUGAGGGAAAGGUGAAAAGCACCCCGGGAGGGGAGUGAAAGAGUACCUGAAACCGUGUGCCUACAAGUAGUCGAAGCGCGUUUAUGCGUAACGGCGUACCUUUUGUAGAAUGGACCGGCGAGUUACGAUUGUAUGCAAGGUUAAGUGGAAGACACGGAGCCGUAGCGAAAGCGAGUCUGAAUAGGGCGAUUUAGUAUGCGGUCGUAGACCCGAAACCGUGUGAUCUACCCAUGUCCAGGGUGAAGGUCAGGUAACACUGACUGGAGGCCCGAACCCACGUAUGUUGAAAAAUGCGGGGAUG
rnacentral:rRNA from 1 species